CAGGAUAUGAAAACGACAGUUUAAACGAACAGAGCAUACGAAAGUACAUACGGAAAUAAGUGGCAGUUUAUACCAAUGAACGAAAGAUUGUACGAAAGUGUGAUUGACACGAACGACUGCUAUGUGUAUACUAAUGGGUAAACAUAAGAGUUUAUGUGAACGGAUAAAUUGUAUAAAUUGAACUUGUAUAAAUGGAACUGUGCAGACGAAAGUUUAAACGAAUGCCAGCUAGCAUGAAUUGUAGCGGUAUGUGAAUGAAAGAUUAACAUGAGCGAUUUAGCCAAAUGAAAUUGUUUAAACGAACGUGUGAGUUAAUUACAAGUAUGGGGUGCGUACGGAAUGAUAGAGUAUAAUUUACAGUUAGCCGUUCGUAUGCUGGCUUCCCUUGUUAUACUCACGAACUCAGUAAGCAGAGAAAGUUUUGCAAACAGA